AGUGAACGCUGGCGGUAGGCCUAACACAUGCAAGUCGAACGGCAGCACAGUAAGAGCUUGCUCUUACGGGUGGCGAGUGGCGGACGGGUGAGGAAUACAUCGGAAUCUACUUUUUCGUGGGGGAUAACGUAGGGAAACUUACGCUAAUACCGCAUACGACCUACGGGUGAAAGCAGGGGAUCUUCGGACCUUGCGCGAUUGAAUGAGCCGAUGUCGGAUUAGCUAGUUGGUGGGGUAAAGGCCCACCAAGGCGACGAUCCGUAGCUGGUCUGAGAGGGUGAUCGGCCAAAAGGGAACAGAGACACGGUCCAGACGCAUACGGGAGGCAGCAGGAGGGAAUAUUCCGCAAGGGGCGAAAGCCGGACGGAGCAACGCCGGGUGAGUGGUGAAGGUCUUCGGAUAGUAAAACUCUGGUAGUAGGGAAGAACAAAUGUGUAAGUAAAUAUGCACGUCUUGACGGUACCUAAUCAGAAAGCCACGGCUAACUACGUG
rnacentral:rRNA from 1 species